rnacentral:rRNA from 1 species
ACACGUAGGGGACGAGCGUUGUCCGGAAUUACUGGGCGCAAAGGGCACGCAGGCUGCGUUACAAGUCAGCUGUUAAAUGCAGGGGCUCACCCCUUGUCUGCUGUUGAAACUGUAAUGCUUGAGUACUGUAGAGGCAAGCGGAAUUCCCAGUGUAGCGGUGAAAUGCGUAGAUAUUGGGAGGAACACCGGUGGCGUAGGCGGCUUGCUGGACAGUUACUGACGCUGAGGUGCGAAAGCCAGGGGAGCAAACGGGAUUAGAUACCCCGGUAGUCCUGGCCGUAAACGAUGAAUGCUAGGUGUGGGUGUAGCGAUACAUCUGUGCCGUAGUUAACGCGUUAAGCAUUCCGCCUGGGGAGUACGAUCGCAAGAUUGAA